CCUACGGGUGGCAGCAGUGGGGAAUCUUCCGCAAUGGGCGAAAGCCUGACGGAGCAACGCCGCGUGAUCGAAUGAAGGCCUUCGGGUUGUAAAGAUCUGUUGACAGGGACGAAUAAGCAAUGCGAAUAGUUUGGUGUAUGACGGUACCUGUUUAGAAAGCUCCGGCUAACUACGCGCCAGCAGCCUCGGGAAUACGUAGGGAGCAAGCGUUGUCCGGAUUUAAUGGGCGUAAUGGGCGCGUAGGUGGGCGCUUAAGUCAGGUGUGAAAGCUCCGGGCUCAACCUGGGGACUGCACUUGAAACUGGGUGUCUUGAGGGCAGGAGAGGAAAGUGGAAUUCCUGGUGUAGCGGUGAAAUGCGUAGAUAUUAGGAGGAACACCAGUGGCGAAGGCGACUUUCUGGACUGUCACUGACGCUGAGGCGCGAAAGCGUGGGUAGCGAACGGGAUUAGAUACCCUUGUAGUC
rnacentral:rRNA from 1 species